UGCGGGAGGACGGGGCCCUGGUGUGGUUUCCUCACACCUUCGGGCAUGUAUGGACUGCGGUUGUCUCAGACACGGCAGCCCCAUCUGAAGCCUGGAAUGAACUGUCUUCUUUGCUAAAAAAGAAAAAAAAAAAAAGAACAAAGUCAGGCAUCAGCAAACCCGGCGCACGUGAGCGUCCUUACCGAAAGGAAGGCCUCGGACCCAGACCAGGUGGGGCUUGUGGGCCUGUGGCUCCUUAGAAUCACCAAAGGGAAGGCAAUUUCAAGUCAAGAGGGCCUCCCUCGCUUUCUGCCGCGGAAGAAGCCUCCGGCUGAGCCACGAGGAGAGAAGGAAGUUUCCCGCAAGGGCCUGGAUACCCGUCGGCCAGGUCGGUGGAACAGGAAAUGGCAGCGUCCGUGUGGCCAAGGCCAACCAUCACAUCCAGCAGAGGCAACAUCUAAAUGGAAGGAAGACCUGGACGGUUUGCCAAAAAGACACGGAAGGCAGUGGCUGGAGCCACGGGAAAGGUAGUCGGGUUUGUUCCUGUGUCUCUGGGCUUGGCUUCAGGGUUUCCUAUGCUCUCACAGAAAGGCCCUGAGGAGGGAUGGCAGCCAGAGUCCUCCCCCCGCUGCCAGGCCUUUGCACAAGGGACGGGGUCUGUGUGUGGGACCAGAGGUCUUGGCAGGGACCGCCCUUCUCCACCAGCAAGGACCCCCGUGGAACCGUUGAGUGUUCUCAGAACGAGGACCACACGCUCACGGCCAUGCCAACCCUGGUUCAUCAGGCUGAGCCACCCAGAAGCCUGCUGGUGGAUCAGCGCAGGUGACCCACUGGGCCACCCUGAGGUCCUUGAGGGUCACUGCCGUGUCACCACUGCGGUCAGAGCUUGAGGAAAGGGGUGAAACGAACUCAUGGAUCUGUCCUCGAAUUUCACUUCGCCAGUGACCCCUGAACCUUGGAACGGGGACUUCUCCAACCUCAGCCCAUUGGCCCAAGCGCGGGGACACAGGGGCAGCAACUUCCUUCUUGGAGAGGAAGCUACUUCCAAACAAACCAGAGGGGAGGAAACCGUUCUACGGGCAAAAGUUUUCACAGCCGCCGUUUCUUCCACGGCUCGUGUUUGCCUUCAAGGACAUGUUGCUCACUGACAGAUCGUUCCUCAAUGGGGAACCAUCCCCUGCCCCAAAUCCAAAGUGGCUCCAUCCAUGUCCAAAAUUUCAGAGUUCCAGGAAGAAACGGGAGUUCAGUGCCGACGGAUACGUGACGGGGGAGGUCGGGUCAAAUGUGGGCUCCUCACCCGGUCCAUACGCAGAACUCAGAAGGUCCCGGAACUUGGAUAGGGGGAAAAUGGCCUCUUUCCCCUGACUCUGCACUAAAAUGUAGAUCUUCCCCCCACCGUGAAUGUAAACAACGUGUCACACUAGCACAUGUCAGCAAGGGCUGUGAUUUCGUCGCCAAUGGAAAUGACAGAUGUUUUCAUAUUUAACAGACUCUCAAAAUCUCAUCUCUGCUCUACAACAAAGGUUGUCAUCACACCCGCUGGUCGAUUUUACUUAAUGCAUUAAUAAUGAAAAAAAAAAGGCACAGAUGUUACUGGUUCGUAAAUUUGUUCUGAUUUUUAGAGGAUUGUAUUUCAACAGAGUUUUUUUUUUUUUUUGGAAUCCUAUGUAUUUUAUUUUAUUCAUUGUAAAACAUUCUAAGAAGAGGGCAGAAGGCUUUAUAGGGAUUGCCAGAGGAGAGCAUGAGACAAAAAAAAAAAAAAAAAGGUUAAGGAACUUUGGCUUCCGGCAGGUCUUUAUGCAGAAGAUCAGAUCAGCUCCCUGCUUCGCAGGUUCAUUAAUACAGUAGUAGCAAAUAUAAUCAAU